GAUAAACGCUGGCGGCGUGCCUUAUGCAUGCAAGUCGAACGGACGUAGCAAUACGUCAGUGGCAGACGGGAGAGUAACACGUGGGAACGUGCCCUUUGGUUCGGAACAACCCAGGGAAACUUGGGGCUAAUACCGGAUAAAGUCCGUAAGGAGAAAGAUUUAUCGCCAAAGGAUCGGCCCGCGUCUGAUUAGCUUGUUGGUGAGGUAACGGCUCACCAAGGCGACGAUCAGUAGCUGGGUCUGAGAGGAUGAUCAGCCUCACUGGGACUGAGACACGGCCCAGACUCCUACGGGUGGCUG
rnacentral:rRNA from 1 species